rnacentral:rRNA from 1 species
GGAUGAACGCUAGCUACAGGCUUAACACAUGCAAGUCGCGGGGCAGCAUGGGGGUUGCUUGCAAUCCCUGAUGGCGACCGGCGCACGGGUGAGUAACGCGUAUCCAACCUGCCCUUCACCACGGGAUAACCCGGCGAAAGUCGGACUAAUACCGUAUGUUGUCCAUUGACGGCAUCCGAUUUGGACGAAAGGCUUAGCGGUGAGGGAUGGGGAUGCGUCCGAUUAGCUCGACGGCGGGGUAACGGCCCACCGUGGCAACGAUCGGUAGGGGUUCUGAGAGGAAGGUCCCCCACACUGGAACUGAGACACGGUCCAGACUCCUACGGGAGGCAGCAGUGAGGAAUAUUGGUCAAUGGGCGGAAGCCUGAACCAGCCAAGUAGCGUGCAGGAUGACGGCCCUAUGGGUUGUAAACUGCUUUUAUGCGGGGAUAAAGGGGCCCACGUGUGGGCUUUUGCAGGUACCGCAUGAAUAAGGACCGGCUAAUUCCGUGCCAGCAGCCGCGGUAAUACGGAAGGUCCGGGCGUUAUCCGGAUUUAUUGGGUUUAAAGGGAGCGUAGGCCGCCCCUUAAGCGUGUUGUGAAAUGCGGGUGCUCAACAUCCGACUUGCAGCGCGAACUGGGGGGCUUGAGUGCGCCGAAAGUAGGCGGAAUUCGUGGUGUAGCGGUGAAAUGCUUAGAUAUCACGAAGAACUCCGAUUGCGAAGGCAGCUUACUGUAGCGCAACUGACGCUGAUGCUCGAAAGCGUGGGUAUCGAACAGGAUUAGAUACCCUGGUAGUCCACGCGGUAAACGAUGGAUGCUCGUUGUCGGCCUUUGAGGCCGGUGACCAAGCGAAAGCGUUAAGCAUCCCACCUGGGGAGUACGCCGGCA